rnacentral:lncRNA from 1 species
UCUCCAGUGGUCACUACCCUAACAAGCAAGUAAGUUAACUACCCGCGCAUCAAAGCGAGCACUCCUAACAAGAAAGCGAGCACUCCUAACAAGUAAGUAAACCUAGCCUCAAAGCCGCCAAGCAACUAAGGAAGGGCAGCGGAACGAUGGCUCAAGAAUCCACCCUACUACUAGCAUAGCAACCCUUAAAGGUAGGCUCACAAUUCCAACUUUCCAGACUAAUGACUAUAGAAACACUAGCACCCGACCCAUAGUAAUAGAAUGAGUAGUUGUGGUCACCACC